GUGAAUCAUCGAAUUUUUGAACGCAAAUUGCACUCUCUGCGGAGAGUAAGCGUGUUUGAGGGUCAGGCUAAAAAAAAUCGACAUCGUUGCUGUUUUGCGGUGGCGUUCGUCGGGAAUUGGGUUCUCUUAAAUCUUUGGUUUAAGCGACUUAAAAUAUUCUUUAUGAUUUCAUGACGGUUACCAAGAUUUAUUUCUGUACACGUCUAAGGUAUCGAUUCUAGUAGGUGUGGUCGUAAUAUCG
rnacentral:misc_RNA from 1 species